UACGGGGGGAGCAAGCGUUGUUCGGAUUUACUGGGCGUAAAGGGCGCGUAGGCGGCCUCUGCAAGUCGACUGUGAAAUCUCCGGGCUUAACCCGGAAAGGUCAGCCGAUACUGCAGGGCUAGAGUGCAGAAGGGGCAACUGGAAUUCUCGGUGUAGCGGGGAAAUGCGUAGAUAUCGAGAGGAACACCUGCGGCGAAGGCGGGUUGCUGGGCUGACACUGACGCUGACAGCGCGAAAGCUAGGGGAGCGAACGGG
rnacentral:rRNA from 1 species